GUUCUACUGCGACGUUGGUGACUGCCAACAUAGUUUUACGAUCUAUGCUUUUCGUAAAAGGGAAUCAACAGCUUCGUGGCAGUAAACCGGGCUUGUACCCGGAAACUUCAAGCGGAUAGCGUCGAUACCCACCUGGUUUACCCAGGUCGGAAACUGAGGUAAGACGGCGUUGCGGUAGACUC
rnacentral:other from 1 species